rnacentral:sRNA from 1 species
CGUCUUCAACCUGCUGCGGGCAGAUCCAGUGAAUGUGGGCAUCAAUCCCGCCGGCGGUGAUGAUGUUGCCUUCACCGGCAAUAAUCUCGGUGCCCGGACCGAUGAUGAUAUCAACACCGGGUUGCACAUCCGGGUUUCCGGCCUUGCCGAUCCCCGCAAUGCGGCCAUCGCGGAUGCCAAUAUCGGCCUUGAUGAUGCCGGUAUAAUCAAGGAUCAGCGCAUUGGUGAUCACGGUAUCAACGGCACCAUCAGCACGCGUUGCCUGUGACUGGCCCAUGCCAUCACG